rnacentral:rRNA from 1 species
GACGAACGCUGGCGGCGUGCCUAAUACAUGCAAGUAGAACGCACAGUUUAUACCGUAGCUUGCUACACCAUAAACUGUGAGUUGCGAACGGGUGAGUAACGCGUAGGUAACCUGCCUGGUAGCGGGGGAUAACUAUUGGAAACGAUAGCUAAUACCGCAUAAUAUUGAUUAUUGCAUGAUAAUUGAUUGAAAGAUGCUAUUGCAUCACUACCAGAUGGACCUGCGUUGUAUUAGCUAGUAGGUGAGGUAACGGCCCACCUAGGCGACGAUACAUAGCCGACCUGAGAGGGGGAUCGGCCACACUGGGACUGAGACACGGCCCAGACUCCUACGGGAGGCAGCAGUAGGGAAUCUUCGGCAAUGGACGAAAGUCUGACCGAGCAACGCCGCGUGAGUGAAGAAGGUUUUCGGAUCGUAAAGCUCUGUUGUAAGAGAAGAACGGGUGUGAGAGUGGAAAGUUCACACUGUGACGGUAUCUUACCAGAAAGGGACGGCUAACUACGUG